rnacentral:lncRNA from 1 species
CAACUUUUCUCUCCUGAUCACCCGGAAAAUCCUUCCAGAAUUACCAAUAAUCAUCUCAACAAAAAGUUGAAGAGAGCCAGCAGUAAAAAGAGAAAACAAUAGCUAAAAGAAGAAUCAAGAACAAAGCAAAAGGACUUUGUGAGGAAGGAAAGAAGCUUCCAGGGCUUCAGCAGAAGAAACAAGACCAAGUGGAGCAAAUGCAGUGAAAUCAGGACAUGAGAUCUUUUCAAACUACUUGUAGAGGGUGUUCUCUUUUCCUUCAUGCAUAGGUCAGCACAAACAACACACCCUAUUUCAAGGAGGACCUCUGUUGGCUUGUUAUUGUCAUAUGUCCCUGGAGAGAGAAGGGUAUGGACAGUCAUCUUCUCCAUCUUAGGAUACAGACAGCUGUGUCUCCCAAUUUGCCUCAUCUGCUGGCUUCCAGCUAGGUUUGUUCAUGAGAGGCACUCAGGAGAGAUUGGAGAACAGGUACAAGAAACCAGGUGCAGGUGCAGAGGUGGGCGACGGAGCUCCAGGUUCCUGGCUGGACUGGGCGGUGACUGGAAGCUCCAGGACUCGCAACUUGAGAUUUCAGUAGAGAGUAUGGGGGAUUGAACUCAGGACCUUGUGCUUGUGAGGCAGGCGUGGCACCACUGAGCGACAUUCCUGGUGCCCCAUUCUAUUUGAAUAGUGAAAACACAUACCAAGAUAAUGCCUCUGAAUAUUCCUUCUCUACCCCAGUCACAUGAUAUUCAGAUCAGAAAACACUGAUCCCUGCCUGAUAAGCUAGCCUGGUAUCUUCAUCUCCAGAUAAAGCCCAUUACAAGUGCUUUGGCCUUCAGGUCUCUACCCCUUUCCUCCGAUCAUGGAUGCUCUUGCAGCACCUACCAGCCACUGCCACCUGAAAUGAGCAAAAGAUAAACAUAUCCAUGAAUAAGAACAUCUAUAGCAAAUGCUACAAACAACAGCCAGCAUGUAGCGGCUGAGGACAACACUUAGGAACAUGCCACAAUGAUCGGGUCACGUGUAGUGCAAGAGUCCUGGCAACCAUGCUCCUGUGCUUCUGACUUGUCACUAACCCCGAGGUCUUGAGCAAGGCACUCACUGCAUCUGCCCUUCACUUCUCUGAAAAAG